rnacentral:tRNA from 1 species
ACCUUCGUGUUGUAGUGGUCAGCACGCUCGACGCGUAACCCAGAGGUCCGUGGUUCGAUUCCCGGCGAAGGCG